GCCUGUGAUGAUAUCUCCAAGUUUAUGAGGUGUGGAUAGCUCCAAGUCCCUGUUUUACAGGGGGAACCUGCUUGGAGCUGCUACAUUCAAAUGACUUCAGUGGACUUUUCUGAGGC